UCGAUUUGGAGUUUGUUGCCUAGAGUGAUGGGCUCCGAAGCUAACGCGAUAAAUCGACCGCCUGGGGAGUACGGCCGCAAGGUUAAAACUCAAAUGAAUUGACGGGGGCCCGCACAAGCGGUGGAGCAUGUGGUUUAAUUCGAUGCAACGCGAAGAACCUUACCUGGUCUUGACAUCCACAGAAUCUUGCAGAGAUGCGAGAGUGCCUUCGGGAACUGUGAGACAGGUGCUGCAUGGCUGUCGUCAGCUCGUGUUGUGAAAUGUUGGGUUAAGUCCCGCAACGAGCGCAACCCUUAUCCUUUGUUGCCAUCGGUUAGGCCGGGAACUCAAAGGAGACUGCCGUUGAUAAAGCGGAGGAAGGUGGGGACGACGUCAAGUCAUCAUGGCCCUUACGACCAGGGCUACACACGUGCUACAAUGGCGUAUACAAAGGGAGGCGACCUCGCGAGAGCAAGCGGACCUCAUAAAGUACGUCUAAGUCCGGAUNGGAGUCUGCAACUCGACUCCAUGAAGUCGGAAUCGCUAGNNAAUCGUGAAUCAGAAUGUCACGGGUGAANACGUUCCCGGGCCUU
rnacentral:rRNA from 1 species